AAAGACAAUAACCUGAUUCAAAGAAGGGAGAAGGAGAGAAGACCGAAGGCAACCCCAACAGAGAGCUCGGUUUGCAUGCAACCUUCUCCAACCCUUUCAACUUCCAUAGGAGCUUGAAACAAGGUAGCUCUCACCUUUCUCUAUCAAUCCUUGCUGUUUUGAAACUCUUCACUAGGUAAGCUAGCUUCGGUUCCUUCCCCUCUAUUCAAUUCGGUUUUCACCAUUACCCAACAGCCCAACCUUGUCUUUCCUUUCAAUUUGUGUAGCUCAAUAGCAUUUUCUUAACCUCUCUGAACCACCGAACUGCCUAGUUUAAGGAGGUGUUGUAGCUGAGAAGGUGAGCUUAGGAGCAAGACAUAUCAAUUUUCGACAUCACCAAGUAAGGGUUAGGACAAUUAGAUUACUAUUCUUGUGGCUGUACCUGUGAUGAGAGUAGAUAAACUAUUAUAUUCUUGAUUGAUGAUAAAUGAUGCUCUAGUAUGUGUUUGAAUGAUGGUUAUGUUAUAUGAAUUGUUAUGUUUGAUAAAAAUGCAGAAAAGUAAAUUUGAGUUAUGAAUGUGUGUUUGUAAAAAAGGGUAAAUUAAUGAGUAUAACCUCUUAGAGCUAUGCUGACCAUGCUAGAAACUUUAGUUAGUCAAAAGAAAGGUAAAACUAUGGUUUUAGAUGAAUUUUAGGCUUGAACAUAAGAUUUGGCAUGUGAAGUUGUUGGAAGUGCAUUAUGCAGAAUUUCUGCAAUUUCUGCAUAAUUGGCAGCAGAAUGAAUGAAUUUCUGGGAGCAUUCCAGAUCAUAAUUUUUGAUGAAAUUAUUUUUCUAUGAAACUUUAAUGUGUUUUUAAUAUCUCGUAAAAAUUUCAGAAUUAAUUGAUAAGUGGAUUGGGAGAAAUGAAUUUUUGAAGAUUGAUGGUUUCAGCAGAAAAUUCUGUUUCUUUACUGCAGAAGCACCAACUUCCAAUUUACUUAAUUUAUAAUUCUGAUGAGUAUUUGGGCUGAAACCAACGGCAGUCUCAAGAUUUAUGUGUCUAAAAUAUUCAGUUUAAAUUUCGUGUCAAAACUCUUUUUAACCAAUUAGAUAUGUUGCAAAAAGUGUGAGUUGCUUGCUGAAUUUUGAAAACAGAUUUGUAUAAGGCAGGGCUGUGUUCCUAACCUCAUAACUUUUACAUGUGACAUGGUAAUAGUCUAAAAUUUAGUUUUCUAGAAAGCUGGAAGAGUCUUAUUUAAGUACAUGAAUUUUGAAAGGCAAUGGUUGAGAAUUGGAUUUUUAGUGAAUUUAACAAAUUUACUACUCGCUGCUGUUUUUUCUGCAAUGAUAGUAGAAUUUUUGAAAGAUUUGUACAAAUUUCAAUUAUGGUAGGAAUGCCCCAGAACCAAGUUUUAUUUUCUAAACCCGUGUUUUUACAAUAACUAAAGGGAUUAAAGAGAGUAUAAUGACCAAUUAAGAAUGUUUACCUGGUAAAUAGUUAAGGAAAGUUUGAACGUUGUUAAAGCUGAGGGAACCCGUAAGGGUGGUUUUAGUGCUAUUUUAGAGGAGAUUAUGUCCGAAUUUCUAUAAAAGUUCAAGGACUUAGUUUAAUGAAAAUGUGUAAGUUACCCCUAAGAAAGGUUAAAGUUAAAGACAAUGAUAUUGAGAGAUAAAGUGAAGAAAGAAAAAUGAGGAACAAGGAAUGAAAUAAAAGUUGAGAAUUAUAUUGAAUGGGCCUUGUGCCGUACUGCUAAUGCGAAAGUGCCCGCCUAAUGGAUAGCCUGAGAUUGCUAAUGCGGGAAUGUUCGCCUAAUUGAUAGAACUGUUCUUUACUGUGACACACAUUGAAAUGUUAUUAUAAUGAGACCUAAUUGACACGGGUAACCGUGAUGCCAAGGUGUCUAAUUGACACAGUAAAGGGACCAUACUCGGGGUUCACUCUGAGUAACGUCGGGUUGCGGGUAGACAACCGACGCAUGAGCUCAUGGCCUGCGCUAGGAACAGGCAUGCAUCAUCUUGUUUGCGCAUAUGAACUUCUUGUGAAUUAUUUACUGCCAUUUCUUUCUUGUUCAUGCUACUUGUUAUAAAUAUGUUUGUGCCUUGAGUCUCUGUGUUUGUUCUUUUUCUGUUUCGCGACAACUUAGAGAUAAAAACCCUAGGUUCCCCUUUUUCCUUACUGAGAACUCUAGGUUCUCACCCUUCUUUUCUUUCUUUUCCCCCCUCCCCAGACAGGUCCGGCAGAGGAGUCCUGUGAGUUUCGUGCUAACCGCUGAGCUGUGAGGAUCUGGCGCGCGGCGGAGUCUUCAUAUGGAGCAUGUUUUGGACCUCUUUUUUUGCACAAUGUUCGGAGAUCACUCCAGAGUUAGUCGCAGUGGAUCUUUCGCUCCUGUUUGAUGAUCUUAGUAUCACUUUCCCCUCACUUUGUAGUACUUUUAGAGGGGUAGGACGUCUUAGUAGUUCGGUUCCAGCUUAGGAAACCCGUGUGAGGGUUGGGACUAAUUUCUUCUUUUGUAUCUGUACAUAUAACUUGGUGUAAUACUCGGCUUUGAUGGAUGACACGUAUCCUUGAACUUAACUCAUGUGUAUCAUAUAUAUAUGUUUAUAUAUGUUAUUUUGG
rnacentral:lncRNA from 1 species